GGGUCAGUAGGUUGGUCGUGCCACCGGUACGUACUGGUCUCACUGAUACCUCCUUCCUGAAGAACCGUAAUGCCAUUAAUUUGGUGUUGCAGGGAAACAGGACUGUUACUUUGAAAAAAUUAGAGUGUUUAAAGCAAGCUAACGCUUGAAUACAUUAGCAUGGAAUAAUGAAAUAGGACGAUCGAUCCUAUUUUGUUGGUUUCUAGGAUUGACGUA
rnacentral:rRNA from 1 species